GACGAACGCUGGCGGCGUGCUUAACACAUGCAAGUCGAACGGAAAGGCCCUGCUUGCCGGGUACUCGAGUGGCGAACGGGUGAGUAACACGUGGGUGAUCUGCCCUGCACUUCGGGAUAAGCCUGGGAAACUGGGCCUAAUACCGGAUAGGAGCCAUUUUUAGUGUGAUGGUUGGAAAGUUUUUUCGGUGUAGGAUGAGCUCGCGGCCUAUCAGCUUGUUGGUGGGGUAAUGGCCUACCAAGGCGGCGACGGGUAGCCGGCCUGAGAGGGUGGACGGCCACAUUGGGACUGAGAUACGGCCCAGACUCCUACGGGAGGCAGCAGUGGGGAAUAUUGCACAAUGGGCGCAAGCCUGAUGCAGCGACGCCGCGUGGGGGAUGACGGCCUUCGGGUUGUAAACUCCUUUCGCUAGGGACGAAGCUUUUUGUGACGGUACCUAGAGAAGAAGCACCGGCUAACUACGUG
rnacentral:rRNA from 1 species